AUUGAACGCUGGCGGCAGGCUUAACACAUGCAAGUCGAGCGAGCGGCGGACGGGUGAGUAAUGUCUGGGAAACUGCCUGAUGGAGGGGGAUAACUACUGGAAACGGUAGCUAAUACCGCAUACCAUCAGAUGUGCCCAGAUGGGGUUGGCUGGUAGGGGGGGUAAUGGCCCACCUAGGCGACGAUCCCUAGCUGGUCUGAGAGGAUGACCAGCCACACUGGAAUUGAGACACGGUCCAGACUCCUACGGGAGGCAGCAGUGGGGAAUAUUGCACAAUGGGCGAAAGCCUGAUGCAGCCAGGCCGCGUGUGUGAAGAAGGCCUUCGGGUUGUAAAGCACUUUAAGCGAGGAGGCGUUACUCGAAGAAGAAGCACCGGCUAACUCCGUGCCAGCCGCCGCGGUAAUAC
rnacentral:rRNA from 1 species